GUCAUAUCCACCCUGUUCAUAUUAUAAUUUGUGGUAAUGUCACUCAAUCGAUCAAAGUUUUGAUGAUAAUAGGCACAAAUAGUAUCACAUCACAUUAAUGAUUAAUAAGAACAACGGUUCAAAACAAACUGUCAAAGUGUCAUCGCGUGGUUCAUAACAUAAGUAAAAGAAAUGCGGAAGUGGAAAAAAAUUCAUUUGUUUGAUGUUAAUAAUUUUUUCUUAAAGUGCUAGGUGAGUAUAAAAACACGUUCUUCAAAAUUUUAUACCGUCAAAAAUAUGAAGAUAAGCCCUUUUUCGUAAAUACCACGGCUAUUGAUAUUGACGAUUAUAUAAUAUUGUGGUCAAUACAAAUAAGUAUUUUAUACUAUACAUAUUAUACACAAAUAAUGUUAAAAUAUUAUUACCAACUUUGGAUUCAUUUGUUUUAAAUCUAAAUCAUAGGUUUUUGGAAACAUUUUUUUCAAAAUGAAAAUCAGUGACACUUACAUUGACAAAUGAAUGACAAUGAGCAAAAUUUGUAUCUACUGUAGAUACCGUGGUAAUUAGGAAAAAAGGGUCUAGCUUCAUAUUUUUGAUCAGUAUUUAUACAUGAACUUGUGAAGAACAUGUUUUUAAUAGUUACCACUCUGAGGAAAGAAUACAAACUCCAGAGAAAUCAAUUUUUUUCUACCCAUGAAUUUCACGAGAGCUUCCUAGCAGCAGAGAUUUUUGGCAUUCAUCAAUAGUAAUACAGGGUUAUUAUCAUCAUGAAUAUAUGGCCGUGAUAAUAGAAUUGUUUUGAUGUAUCCAUUUUUGAUUUUACUUAUUAUUAAAAAUUAGUUUUGUGGUUACUUUUAUUAUUUUGAGAUAUUAUAUUGACUUGGGC